CAGGAAGCCGGUGCGAGUCCGGCACGGUCCCGCCACUGUGACCGAACCCCGUCCACGAGGACCGGGGCUCGGCAGUCAGGAACUG
rnacentral:ncRNA from 2 species